rfam:Necator americanus N_americanus-1.0_Cont43.67, whole genome shotgun sequence.
CUAACGGCCCUUUUUAGGGCCACCAACUUGCGAAUACAAAUCGAA